rnacentral:lncRNA from 10 species
GUUGAAUGCUUUCAGCAUUAACCAUCAGCCCAGAGUUGCAGCUCCCUCCUCAUCUCAGGGAAAUGGAACUUUUAUCUCACCAGGUUGCCAUCCAGCCUUCUGUACAUUCUGUUCUCCUUGAAGAAAGCAUCUUGGUAAAGGAGUUGGAGAUUUAUACCCAGAAAGGCUGAACUGGAAGUUUCUGGUGUGUCCCAUCCAGAGGAACCCUGUAAUGGAUCAGAAGCCAGUCUGAGGCUUGCCUAUAAAGCAGGGAGAGGCACAACUGGAAUCAGAAAACCAGCACAGCAGAGAUGCUAGAUUGUAUUGUGCUUACAUGAUGACUUUAGGAUAUUUUAUUUUUUUUGAGACAGAAUCUUGCUAUGUUGCCCAGGCUGGCCUCGAACCCUGGGCUCAAGUGAUCCUCCUUCCUUUCAGCCUCACUGAAGCUGGGAUUACAGGCAUGUGUCAUCAUGCCCAGCUUUUGAAGAAUUUUUUUUUUGUCAUGGCCCAAUAAUUUUUUAAAUUCUAUUUACAAAUUUCUAAAUACAUAAUAGUGAAAACAUCAAAAAUAUAAAAAGGUAUUCAAACUGUCUCCCACUAUUGUCCUCUAACUGCCCUGCUGUCAUCUCUUUGAAUAGGUGACCAUCUGCUUUUUCGUUAUUAUUCAUCUUUUAUUUAUUUAUUUAUUUAGAGACAGAGUCUUGCUCUUGUUGCCCAGAGAGGAGUGUAGUGGCACAAUCUCCACUCACUGCAACCUCCAUCUCCUAGGUUCAAGUGAUUCUCCUGCCUCAGCCUCCCAAGUAGCUGGGAUUACAGGUGUGGUCCACCAUACCCGGCUAAUUUUUGUAUUUUUAAUAAAGGCAAGGUUUCAAGGCUGGUCUUGAACUCUUGACCUCAAGUGAUGCACAUGUCUCGGCCUCCCAAAGUGCUGGGAUUACAGGCAUGAACCGCUACACCCAGCUGUUAUUUUUCAUCUUUCCAGAAAGUUUUGAUGUGUUUGAGUCAUGGCUUCUUGGCUUCCUCAAGUAUCUUCUAGACCUUGACAUGCUUGACAUCUCAGGCCCUCAUUUUUCUCUAAGGAUCAGACUUCUCGGUUUUUAUACUGAUCAUCUUUCAAGAAAUGAAAGCGUGUCUUUUCAUUCCAAUUCAGAACCACCAACAAGAUGUUAAUAAUAUUUUCAGACACAAAUACAGUUUCUUAGUAAGUUUGAUCAUUGUUUUGGAAUAUGAAAACUUUGUUUUUUCUCAGGUAAAUCCAUCAUUCUGAAAUGAUCUUUCACUAAUGACAAUUUAAAAGGAUUAAAACCAGUCUUACUCACCCAUACAUUAAUUUGUUCUCUUUGAGUUUAAAGGCGGAUUUUAUUAUCUCAGAAAAUACUGUUGAUGAUAUUUGCUAUUAUUUUAUGGUAUCUGCAGGUUUUGUUUGUCCAACAAUCAUUCCCC